rnacentral:rRNA from 1 species
UCGCCUGUUUAUCAAAAACAUCGCCUCUUGCAACUCACAUAUAAGAGGUAACGCCUGCCCAGUGACCAUGUGUUCAACGGCCGCGGUAUUCUGACCGUGCAAAGGUAGCGUAAUCACUUGUCUUUUAAAUAAAGACUAGUAUGAAUGGCAUCACGAGAGUUCAACUGUCUCCCCCACCCAAUCAGUGAAACUGAUCUCCCCGUGCAGAAGCGGGGAUAAAACCAUAAGACGAGAAGACCCCAUGGAGCUUUAAACUAAAGGCACUAGCUCUUAAUUUACCCCAAGGACAAAACAUUAAACCAGUUAAAGUGACCUGUCGUUUUCGGUUGGGGCGACCACGGAGAAGAACAAAUCCUCCGAGAUGAAAGGGUAAACCCUUAGCCAAGACCCACAAUUCUAAGCAAUAGAACAUCUAACGCACCGAUCCAAUCAAAUUGAUCAACGAACCAAGUUACCCUGGGGAUAACAGCGCAAUCUAUUUUCAGAGUUCAUAUCGACAAAUAGGUUUACGACCUCGAUGUUGGAUCAGGGCCUCCUAGCGGUGCAGCCGCUGCUAAGGGUUCGUUUGUUCAACGAUUAAAGCCCUACGUGAUCUGAGUUCAGACCGGA